GACGGAGGGUGCUAGCGUUGUUCGGAAUCACUGGGCGUAAAGGGCGCGUAGGCGGCCGCCCGCGUCGGACGUGAAAGCCCGGGGCUCAACCCCGGAACGGCGUCCGAUACGGGGCGGCUCGAGGCCGGGAGAGGUGAGUGGAACUGCGAGUGUAGAGGUGAAAUUCGUAGAUAUUCGCAAGAACACCAGUGGCGAAGGCGGCUCACUGGCCCGAUACUGACGCUGAGGCACGAAAGCGUGGGGAGCAAACGGG
rnacentral:rRNA from 1 species